CCUACGGGUGGCUGCAGUGGGGAAUAUUGCACAAUGGGCGCAAGCCUGAUGCAGCCAUGCCGCGUGUGUGAAGAAGGCCUUCGGGUUGUAAAGCACUUUCAGCGGGGAGGAAGGCGGUGAGGUUAAUAACCUCAUCGAUUGACGUUACCCGCAGAAGAAGCACCGGCUAACUCCGUGCCAGCAGCCGCGGUAAUACGGAGGGUGCAAGCGUUAAUCGGAAUUACUGGGCGUAAAGCGCACGCAGGCGGUCUGUCAAGUCGGAUGUGAAAUCCCCGGGUUCAACCUGGGAACUGCAUUCGAAACUGGCAGGCUAGAGUCUUGUAGAGGGGGGUAGAAUUCCAGGUGUAGCGGUGAAAUGCGUAGAGAUCUGGAGGAAUACCGGUGGCGAAGGCGGCCCCCUGGACAAAGACUGACGCUCAGGUGCGAAAGCGUGGGGAGCAAACAGGAUUAGAUACCCGAGUAGUC
rnacentral:rRNA from 1 species